UCGAGGAUCUUCGGCAAUGGGGGCAACCCUGACCGAGCGACGCCGCGUGGACGACGAAGGCCUUCGGGUUGUAAAGCACUUUUGUCCGGAAAGAAAUCCCUGGAGCUAAUACCUUCGGGGGAUGACGGUACCGGAAGAAUAAGCACCGGCUAACUUCGUGCCAGCAGCCGCGGGAAUACGAAGGGUGCAAGCGUUACUCGGAAUUACUGGGCGUAAAGCGUGCGUAGGCGGUUCGUUCAGUCUGCUGUG
rnacentral:rRNA from 1 species